AAGACCUUUGCACUUUUGGAGCGGCCGAUGUCUGAUUAGCUAGUUGGUGGGGUAAUGGCCUACCAAAGCUUCGAUCAGUAGCUGGUCUGAGAGGACGGCCAGCCACACUGGGACUGAGACACGGCCCAGACUCCUACGGGAGGCAGCAGUGGGGAAUUUUGGACAAUGGGCGCAAGCCUGAUCCAGCCAUGCCGCGUGAGUGUAGAAGGCCUUCGGGUUGUAAAGCUCUUUCAGCCGGGAAGAAAAGGUUGCGACUAAUAAUCGCAAUCCAUGACGGUACCGAAAGAAGAAGCACCGGCUAACUACGUGCCAGCAGCCGCGGUAAUACGUAGGGUGCGAGCGUUAAUCGGAAUUACUGGGCGUAAAGGGUGCGCAGGCGGUUUUGUAAGUCAGAUGUGAAAUCCCCGGGCUUAACCUGGGAACU
rnacentral:rRNA from 1 species